rnacentral:lncRNA from 1 species
UCGACGGAAAGAAGGCAAAACGGCGGAAGAUUAACAAGGCCUUUAUCCAAGUGUAGCACGCGAGCAAGCUCACACAGACGACGUUACCUUCCCUUCGACCGUGUGAUCUCGUCGUAACAGGUAAACUUUCCUUCUCGAAUCAUGGUGUUGCUUUGUUUAUUCGAUCCCGACCAGUAGCAAUUCGGUCCAGUCCCUAGGAUGAGAAAAGGGUCGGUGUUUAUGUUCAUCGCGAUUUGUUUCGAGCUGCAGACUCAUCAUUUUUGUUUGUGGCGUGGUCGAUUUUGUUUGAUUUUCAUUUACUAGAGAAAAAAAUUGCUUUGGGAAGAAGGUCGUUUGGUUUGACGUUGUUAUUCUCAU